AAAGUCUAGCCUGCCCAGUGACGUUGAGUUUAAAGGCCGCGGUAUACUGACCGUGCGAAGGUAGCAUAAUGAUUUGUUCUUUAAUUGAGGACUUGUAUGAAUGGUUGAACAAGAAACUUUCUGUCUCUCAUUUAUUUCUUGAAUUUUACAUUUAAGUGAAAAGGCUUAAAUGGACUAGGGGGACGAUAAGACCCUAUAAAUCUUUAUAUUUGCUCAGCCAAGAAAUGUGUAUUAUGGCUAAAAAUAUAUUUUUUAGCGGGGCAAUAUUUUGUUGGGGCGACAGGAGUAUAAUAGGUAACUGCUUUAAAAGUUUAGUUAGAUAUAUUUAAUUUGGGAAUUAAGAGAUCCUUUACUAAGGAUUGUUAAAACAAGUUACUUUAGGGAUAACAGCGUAAUCUCUUUUGAGAGUUCAUAUCGAAAGAGAGGAUUGCGACCUCGAUGUUGAAUUAAGGAUCCUUUGUGGUGUAGCCGUUACAAAAGGAGGUC
rnacentral:rRNA from 1 species